rnacentral:rRNA from 1 species
GACGAACGCUGGCGGCGUGCUUAACACAUGCAAGUCGAACGGAAAGGCCCUGCUUUUGCGGGGUGCUCGAGUGGCGAACGGGUGAGUAACACGUGAGUAACCUGCCCCUGACUUUGGGAUAACUUCAGGAAACUGGGGCUAAUACCGGAUAGGAGCUCCUGCUGCAUGGUGGGGGUUGGAAAGUUUCGGCGGUUGGGGAUGGACUCGCGGCUUAUCAGCUUGUUGGUGGGGUAGUGGCUUACAAAGGGUUUGACGGGUAGCCGGCCUGAGAGGGUGACCGGCGACAUUGGGACUGCGGUACGGCCCAGACUCCUACGGGAGGCAGCAGUGGGGAGUAUUGCACAAUGGGCGGGAGCCUGAUGCAGCAGCGCCGCGUGCGGGAUGACGGCCUUCGGGUUGUGAACCGCUUUCGCCUGUGACGAAGCGUGAGUGACGGUAAUGGGUAAAGAAGCACCGGCUAACUACGUG